rnacentral:rRNA from 1 species
GAAAGAGAGUCAAACAGUACGUGAAAUUGUUGAAAGGGAAGCGCUUGCAACCAGACUUGCCCGCGGGUGAUCAGCCGGUAUUCUUACCGGUGCACUCGCCCGUGGUCAGGCCAGCAUCGGUUCGGGCGGCUGGAUAAAGUCAACCGGAAUGUAGCUCCUCUCGGGGAGUGUUAUAGCCGGAGGUGCCAUGCAGCCCGCCCGGACCGAGGACCGCGCUUCGGCUAGGAUGCUGGCGUAAUGGUUGUAAGCGACCCGUCUUGAAACACGGACCAAGGAGUCUAACAUCUAUGCGAGUGUUUGGGUGUCAAACCCAUGCGCGUAAUGAAAGUGAACGGAGGUGGGAACCCUUAAGGGUGCACCAUCGACCGAUCCUGAUGUCUUCGGAUGGAUUUGAGUAAGAGCAUAGCUGUUGGGACCCGAAAGAUGGUGAACUAUGCCUGAAUAGGGUGAAGCCAGAGGAAACUCUGGUGGAGGCUCGCAGCGGUUCUGACGUGCAAAUCGAUCGUCAAAUUUGGGUAUAGGGGCGAAAGACUAAUCGAACCAUCUGCUACUAGAUGGCACACGGGCCCGUGUGGCCCGGUAGUCCCCACGCGCUGGGGGCAACAUCGUCGGUCUCGUCGGGAACGCCUCAGGGCUAUCCGCAGUGAGCUUUAGGCUCAUUCACAGACUAAGUGGCGGUGGCCGUGGCUUGGAGCGCGGUUAGGAUAUAGCCG